rnacentral:rRNA from 1 species
CUUAUAUUCUGUAGCAAGGUUAACCGAAUAGGGGAGCCGGAGGGAAACCGAGUCUUAAUUGGGCGUUAAGUUGCAGGGUAUAGACCCGAAACCCGGUGAUCUAGCCAUGGGCAGGUUGAAGGUUGGGUAACACUAACUGGAGGACCGAACCGACUAAUGUUGAAAAAUUAGCGGAUGACCUGUGGCUGGGGGUGAAAGGCCAAUCAAACCGGGAGAUAGCUGGUUCUCCCCGAAAGCUAUUUAGGUAGCGCCUCGUGAAUUCAUCUCCGGGGGUAGAGCACUGUUUCGGCUAGGGGGCCAUCCCGGCUUACCAACCCGAUGCAAACUGCGAAUACCGGAGAAUGUUAUCACGGGAGACACACGGCGGGUGCUAACGUCCGUCGUGAAGAGGGAAACAACCCAGACCGCCAGCUAAGGUCCCAAAGUCAUGGUUAAGUGGGAAACGAUGUGGGAAGGCCCAGACAGCCAGGAUGUUGGCUUAGAAGCAGCCAUCAUUUAAAGAAAGCGUAAUAGCUCACUGGUCGAGUCGGCCUGCGCGGAAGAUGUAACGGGGCUAAACCAUGCACCGAAGCUGCGGCAGCGACA